rnacentral:lncRNA from 1 species
CACUGGAAUAUGCAUAUCCCUAGAAUUACUGAGUAGCUGAUUUUGUUGGCAUUUUUCUUUUCCUUUUGUAAAAUUACCAUGCAGUAUGGUAUGCAAACUAAUUUAGGUUAAUUUGCAACAUCAGUUUGCUGCCUAGUAUGCCAACUAACCAUUUCUAAAAAGAAAAUCAAAUUUGCGUUUGUUUUUUUGUGAGGGGUAAAAGUUCUGAUGUGAAGGAAGGGGGAAAUUCCAUGCUAUUCUAGUAAAUAUAAUCACACACUCUUUCUAUUGAAUUAUCUAGUGCUUGCUGCUAUAAUUUUUAGUUUAAGCCAAUCUGCUAGAAUGCAAUGUAAAACCCUUGGAGAGCCACCAAGUGCCUCAAUAAGGAAUUAUCUAUUGAUUUUUAUGGGAUUUCCUGUCAUGUGGUCUGUGUACUGUUGGGAAAUCUCCAGCUAGAAGUAGCACCAAAGAAUAGAUUUAAUAUUACCAAGUCAACAAGAACUAUGAAGAUACGUUUUUAUAUUCAUGCAGUUCUUUAUUUUUUAUCAAAGGUGAAAAAGGAUUAUGCCUUCUUAACUUUAAAUCUGUCAAUGAUUUGCAGUAGUUGUGGUGCUUAGAAUAAGAAUGCUCAUAAGUGGUUAUGAUUUGUUUGCUGUCUCCUUGACGUGUCAUUCUAAGCAGAGCUGUCAUGACACUUAACGCACAUACCCUCUGUAGCUCCACUAAUGUGGUAGUUCAUUGAACUCCUGCAUUGACCAUCCAGAUUUAGAUCAAGAAUAUGCAGUGAUGGCCCAAGCACUCUCAAGCUAUGAAUGCUACUUAAAGGUGUGUAAUCUAAUGUGGAGGUUCUUUUAUGCUGCAUUACAGCCAUAAGUGAGGGGCUGACCUUUAGCUGCCAGGAGAUCUGGCUCAUUUGACACAAACCAAGAAGACAACAAAGACUAUCUGCACCAUAACCACUACAUGUGUCAUAUUGGUCAUGGUGUUUACCAAGCCCCUUUAUAUGAAAAUACUUUUAAUUUACAUUUUAGUUGUUUACAGUGUAUGUAUAAUAUAUACAUUAUACUGUUUAAGAACCGCACAAACCUAAAAAUAGUUUUACAUUUUAUAAGGCUACUUAAAAUCACCUCUCCCUGCAAACAAGUAUGGGGAUUCAGUUCCACCAUAUGGCCAUAUUGUGUUAAGCCCACCACUACUUAGUACCACAAUAUUGGUGGGUCCUACACUAAUUUUAAUGUGGGUGACAAAUUAAGUAAAUAAGCUAAAGUGUAUUUAAUCUGUUGUAAGAGCACUGUGGGGAAAAUAAAUUUAUAUAUAUACACUUUUUUUUUUUUUUUUAAAUCUUCAAAUAAAAAUGAUUAAAGUGACAUGAUUGUCCAAGACCUCCUCAAAUGUAUACUUGUGGUCGCUUCCAAGAGGGCCUUAGAAGGUGGGGGGGCGGGAGGAAGUUCUCAGCCCAAAAGGAAUCUAGUCUGGACUCUUUACUUGCAUACUAAAGAGAGGGAGAACACCUGGAACAUGCUGCUGUAGAUAGAGGUGCUUUUAAACAGCCUUGGAAAAUUAAAAAUUAAUUGUAUACCUUUUUGGUCUCUACGGCAUGUUCCGGGUGUACCCAAUUCAAUUUGUUGCUGCAGAUAACACACCAGAUUUCCCACUGACAUGCUCGUAGUUUUCACUAGGGCACAGUCUCUUGCACUUUUUAUUGUGUGGAAUUUACACAUAUGGUAGACUUGAUCUUCAUGACUUCAUUAACACAAUACAUAGCAGCUGAGGGAAAACUAACUCUAUGCUUCUUGCCUCCAUACCUCCCUACAGGGUGGUUGUUUUUUUGUUUUGUUUUUUUCCCUUUCUCCUCUGUCCAUUCAUCCUUUUUAAUCCACCAAACUCUUUAAAUGAACAUAAAGCAAACAUUUUAGUUGACAAUCUAUGCACAAACCUGGUGCUAGGUCAUAUAAUUUUAUAUAAAAUAUAUAAAUUCCAUGUUUUAAAUGAGGGGAGGAAACUGAGUUCAUAUAAUUUAAAAACGAACACCCUUUCACUCCCAAGAAUUGGAUUAGUAUUUAUUUAAAGGUGUCUGAGGUUUCGUAAAACUAUUUUUUAUUUUUUUUGAUCACCCUUUUAAACCCCUCCCUUCGGUAUUUGCUUUCCUGGACAAUUCUGAGAACCUAUAUUAUGAGAUCAAUGCAAAUAACCUUCUUUAAGUAAAAAUGUCUCUGGCACAGGCUAACUUGCACAAUGCCAUUUUUUUUUUUUUUGAGUGCACACUGCAGUCACUCUAAUGCCACCUCUUCUCUACAUAAACGCUACAACGAUAAAUUAUGAAAGUGCCCAGUAUCUUAAAUGUUUAAGUGUAUAUAUUAGUGUGGCGAUUACACUUGAGGAAAAUGCUUGUGUGCCAUAUAGCUUUUUAUACUGUUAAUACAGUUGAUAUUUUAUGAUUUAGAAAUGUAAGUAGAGUAUAUGACCCUUGGUCAGUAGUUUCACUCAAUUUGUUUGAUAUAUUUCUAUGAAAAAUCCAACGUAGUGUCCAUAAUUUCAUCUUGCAUCUGGACAAUUUCCAGGAAAAUGCUAGAAGCAUGUGGACCUUCCAAUAAUGCAUUGCAUCCACUUACUAGCCAUUUGGCUUGCACAAUUAUAUCAAUGGGGAAAAAAAAUAGACCAGACCCUCAGGAUUUUCAAGUGUUUGUUUUUUGUUUUUUUGAAACGUUAAUGUCAUGGUUUGUGAUGGUAAAGGCUAUUAGCCAGUAUUUCCUGAGGGGUUUAUUCACAAAACGCCAAACUGUAGACCAUUGCUAAAAUCCUAUGUUUGCCAUUCUGUAUCCAAAUCCGAAGUGGCAAAAUGUAGACGUUGAAUGAAUAAACCCCACAGGACUUGAGCGAUUUGGCGGUAACUGACCAGAGACACAGUAGUGAUGCAUCAGACUGAUUUUUACCAAUCUCUCUUAGAGCACUUUCUAUGCAGACAGAUUAUAAACUCUUCAUUGGGUUAUUUACCGAGGUGAGAAUUGUCAGAAUUUAAAGUGAAUUUCAAUUCCAAAGUAGCUGAACUGGAGAAAUGUUCCCUCAUUGGUUUCCAGUUUUACUACUUUUGCCUUAAAUUUGAGAUUCCCUUUAAAUUCUGCACGAGUCUCACUUCAGUGAAUAGCUCUGACUGUAGCUGUAGUUCUUUUUGAUGUAUGACUGUCUUGCUGUUACACCAGAGUAGAGAAUUUACAUGAAAAGAUUUGUGGCCAUUUUUUGAAGGGAAAAUUUACAUUACCUCCCGUUUUUAAAGUAGAUCUUACUUUCCACUGAUACAAUUUAGAACAGAGACUUGCUUUACAAGGCAGACAUCCCAUCUUGCUAAAAGUCACCUGUUUUUGAGAGUAUCCUAAUCACAUUUCAAAGCUUGAGUUGUAUGAAAGCACAGCCUUUUUACAACAUUGUUGGUUUGUUUUUGUGUAAAAAUUUGUUUUUUAACAAAGUAAGACAUUCUGUAAAGAUGUGUAAUGUUUUGUUUGAAGAAGGGAAGGUGUUCUAUCAAACAUAAAUCUUUGUUAUUGCUUUUGUUUUGAUUGUUACUUUUGAAAAUAUUUGCAUGAUCAUAAUGGUUUAUAAAACAUGCUAUUUCAAACAUUGCAUAAAUACAUAUUUAAUCAAAAAUAAACACCAUUGUAC